rnacentral:rRNA from 1 species
GGGGUGCCUAAUACAUGCAAGUCGAGCGGACGAUUCAAAAUUUUGCUUUUGAAUCGUUAGCGGCGGACGGGUGAGUAACACGUGGGCAACCUGCCCUGUAGACGGGGAUAACACCGAGAAAUCGGUGCUAAUACCGGAUAACACGGAAGACCGCAUGGUUUUUCGUUGAAAGGCGGCGCAAGCUGUCGCUACAGGAUGGGCCCGCGGCGCAUUAGCUAGUUGGUGAGGUAACGGCUCACCAAGGCGACGAUGCGUAGCCGACCUGAGAGGGUGAUCGGCCACACUGGGACUGAGACACGGCCCAGACUCCUACGGGAGGCAGCAGUAGGGAAUCUUCCGCAAUGGACGAAAGUCUGACGGAGCAACGCCGCGUGAGCGAAGAAGGCCUUCGGGUCGUAAAGCUCUGUUGUUAGGGAAGAACAAGUACCGCAGUCACUGGCGGUACCUUGACGGUACCUAACGAGAAAGCCACGGCUAACUACGUGCCAGCAGCCGCGGUAAUACGUAGGUGGCAAGCGUUGUCCGGAAUUAUUGGGCGUAAAGCGCGCGCAGGCGGUUCCUUAAGUCUGAUGUGAAAGCCCACGGCUCAACCGUGGAGGGUCAUUGGAAACUGGGGGACUUGAGUGCAGAAGAGGAGAGCGGAAUUCCACGUGUAGCGGUGAAAUGCGUAGAGAUGUGGAGGAACACCAGUGGCGAAGGCGGCUCUCUGGUCUGUAACUGACGCUGAGGCGCGAAAGCGUGCGGAGCAAACAGGAUUAGAUACCCUGGUAGUCCUCUCUGUAAACGAUGAGUGCUAAGUGUUAGAGGGUAUCCUCUCUUUAGUGCUGUAGCUAACGCAUUAAGCACUCCGCCUGGGGAGUACGCUCGCAAGAGUGAAACUCAAAGGAAUUGACGGGGGCUCGCACAAGCGGUGGAGCUUGUGGUUUAAUUCGAAGCAACGCGAAGAACCUUACCAGGUCUUGACAUUCCUUGACAACCCGAGAGAUCGGGCGUUCCCCCUUCGGGGGGACAGGGUGACAGGUGGAGCAUGGUUGUCGUCAGCUCGUGUCGUGAGAUGUUGGGUUAAGUCCCGCAACGAGCGCAACCCUCGACCUUAGUUGCCAGCAUUCAGUUGGGCACUCUAAGGUGACUGCCGGCUAAAAGUCGGAGGAAGGUGGGGAUGACGUCAAAUCAUCUUGCUCCUUAUGACUUGGGCUACUCACGUGCUACAAUGGGCGGUACAAAGGGUCGCGAACCCGCGAGGGGGAGCCAAUCCCAAAAAGCCGCUCUCAGUUCGGAUUGCAGGCUGCAACUCGCUUGCAUGAAGCCGGAAUCGCUAGUAAUCGCGGAUCAGCUAUGCCGCGGU